CAAAUGAAUUUAUAAACAGAACGACCUAUUUAAUCUAAUUCGGCCUCGAACAUCCGAACAGACGACAUCGUUUUGAAUCCGAAGAAAAAGGAACACACAAAGAGGAGGUGUAUCAACUGGCGCGUUACCUUCGAAGGGUAGAAAGAUAUGCCAGCAGGAGGAGGAGGAGGAGGAGAAGGAGAUGGAGGACAAUAUAAAAAGUGGGAGAGAUAGUCGCGUAUCGAAACCGCAGAAUAAAUGGAUUCUCCGAACUCGUCGAUGAGUCCGAUAAUGGAAGGAAGAGGAAGAGGAUUAAAUGCACUAGAGGAAUAGGAAGAGCAAGAGGAGGAGGAAGAGGAGGAGGAGGAGGAGGAGGAGGAGGAGAAGGUGAAAGAGGAGAAGUUAUCACCGAACGAUCUUUCACGAA